rnacentral:rRNA from 1 species
UACAGAGGGUGCUAGCGUUGUUCGGAAUCACUGGGCGUAAAGGGCGCGUAGGCGGCCCGCACAAGUCUGCGGUGAAAACCCCCGGCUUAACCGGGGGCCGGCCGUGGAAACUGUCGGGCUGGAGGCUGGGAGAGGGCAGCGGAAUUCCCGGUGUAGCGGUGAAAUGCGUAGAGAUCGGGAGGAACACCGGCGGCGAAGGCGGCUGCCUGGACCAGUCCUGACGCUGAGGCGCGAAAGCUAGGGGAGCAAACAGG